UUUAGCAGGGGAUUUGAUUCAUCUGUUUCAAGGGAUAUUAAGAUAUGCUCCAUUAGAGAGGGUAACAUCACGUGCAACAUUAAGACAUCCUUUCUACACCAGGGACAAUCUGAGUAGACGAUACUAGCUGCUGCUAACAAUAUCAAAACAAAGUAUGUGGCGGUCAAUCUAAAUCUGCACAAAGAAGGAAGGAAGGAUGUUUUUGCUGUAGAUGUUUUUAUUUCCCGAGGGUAUGUUUUGAGUUCCUACUGCACUGCUGUGUGGAAACCCCACCCACACAUCUUAUUGACCACCUUGAUGUCAAAUUUAUGUACAAAGUACAAACAAACAAACAAAUGUAGAAAAAGAAAAGAGAGAUGAUUACAAAGUAUGUGAAAGAGGAAUGGGCAUGGUUAUGUUCUUUAUCCAAGUUUAUGGAGAGACAGCUGGUUGACUGUGAAUGAUCCUAUUUUACAGACACACAAGUUUCUGUGUAGUUGAAUGCUGGAUUUUGAUCUCUGGUUUCCCUAAUAAUGGUUUGGAUUGAAUGAAAGAAGUAGCAAUGUAUCAUCACUGAUCAUGACACAACAC